UUCCCUCCUCAUAGGAAGAAAACAAGAGGACGAAGCUGUGAGCAACGUGGAUUGUUUUUGUACAAAUUUCUGCAGAGCCCUGAGUUCCUCCAAGAAAGACCACGUAUCUGUAUAGAGAGAAUCGUAAAUGGUGUUGGGGGUGCUUUCUAGAAUUUACUUGCUCUAGAAACUAUAUCUGCCUCUUUUUAAUGUUUUUAUUAAAAAUGUGCCAACCUAAGUGAAAAAAGAAAUGGAGAGAGAUUCUCCAAGGAUCAUGAGUUUAAUUGGGAGUGAGCCUUGCCAUGCAGAAAACGUGUGCCAUAGGAAACUGCAGACAUAUCAGGAAGGCAAAGGAAGAUGAAGGCUUUACUGGGUUGUUUUGAAACAAUUAUCUUUGGUUAUGAGGCGCAGUAAAAAGAGUGGCAUCAGACCAAGACAGGACAGGCCUUGCUGAGCUGAUGUCCCUGCAGGAAUACUCUUUUGUGUACAGUUGUGGUUUUGGCAGACUUUUUUGCAAUCAGUCUUCUCAUCAGGACAUUUCAUGUGAGAACACUUCUUUUGCAUCCUUCCCUGGCUUCACUUAGGUGGGCUUUGACCCAAGGGACUCCAUUUGACUCUGACAGCUUCCACAAAUGGAAAGCUUUACAUGGUGUCUCGAAUAAGCUGUCCUCCCCUGGCACUGUGCUUGGCCCACUGGGGAACAAAGAUGAAAAAGAGCCCGAUUCAAAGAGGGCCUGGCAGUGCCGACUCUCUCCCAGAGGAGACUUUUACCGGAAGGUGUUCCCAGGCACAGUUUAGCAAGAACCCUCUGUAUUGUCAUAUAUCCAACCAGGAUUACAGCCAUGGCAAGGUGCCUCUGGUCUCCAAGGAGGAAGGAAGAACAAGAGGACGUGAACAGGGCAGCCCUUCUUUUCAAGGACGCACCUGGAAGUUGUCCGCACGAUGACUUGCAUGCAAUUGGUAGAAAGUAGUCACGCCACAUGGCUACAGCUCCUUUGCUAUGACUUCUGCCUCUUGUCAAGAUGGAAUAAUAGGCACUGGAUUUACCUUGGUGCCUGAAACAACUAAAACAGCUGAACAAAAAAUAUAUGAAGCAACAACUUUCCAGACCUUAGGCAUCAGGCAAGGAAGACGCAAUGAUCCCUGCAAGAUGG